rnacentral:rRNA from 1 species
CCUACGGGAGGCAGCAGUGGGGAAUAUUGCACAAUGGGGGAAACCCUGAUGCAGCGACGCCGCGUGGGUGAAGAAGUAUUUCGGUAUGUUAAGCCCUAUCUGCAGGGAAGAAAAUGACGGUACCUGACUAAGAAGCCCCGGCUAACUACGUGCCAGCAGCCGCGGUAAUACGGAGGGGGCAAGCGUUAUCCGGAUUUACUGGGGGUAAAGGGAGCGUAGGUGGCUUACCAAGUCAGGAGUGAAAGUCUGGGGCCCAACCCUCGGAUUGCUGUGGAAACUGGCAGGCUUGAGUGCAGGAGAGGUAAGCGGAAUUCGUAGUGUAGCGGUGAAAUGCGUAGAUAUUAGGAGGAACACCAGUGGCGAAGGCGGCUUACUGGACUGUGACUGACGCUGAGGCUCGAAAGCGUGGGGAGCAAACAGGAUUAGAUACCCGAGUAGUC